CAUGCAAGUCGAGCGGAUGACGGGAGCUUGCUCCUUGAUUCAGCGGCGGACGGGUGAGUAAUACCUAGGAAUCUGCCUGGUAGUGGGGGACAACGUUUCGAAAGGAACGCUAAUACCGCAUACGUCCUACGGGAGAAAGCAGGGGACCUUCGGGCCUUGCGCUAUCAGAUGAGCCUAGGUCGGAUUAGCUAGUUGGUGAGGUAAUGGCUCACCAAGGCUACGAUCCGUAACUGGUCUGAGAGGAUGAUCAGUCACACUGGAACUGAGACACGGUCCAGACUCCUACGGGAGGCAGCAGUGGGGAAUAUUGGACAAUGGGCGAAAGCCUGAUC
rnacentral:rRNA from 1 species